AAGACUAUAGACCUGCGGAGUACCUGCGGAAGGAUCAUUAUUGAAUUAUGUUUCUAAAUGGGUUGUAGCUGGCUCGUCAGAGCAUGUGCACGCCUGUUUGGACUUCAUUUUCAUCCACCUGUGCACCUAUUGUAGUCUUUGGUUGGGUAUCAAGGAAGUGGUCAGCCUAUCAGCACUUGCUGGAUGUGAGGACUUGCAGUGUGAAAGCUUCGCUGUCCUUUACUUGAUCAUGGAGUUGUU
rnacentral:misc_RNA from 1 species